rnacentral:lncRNA from 1 species
CUCAGAAACUCCCUGCAGCCAGAGACUGGAAUCGCCACGUUUAGGUAGGCACUCCGUUUGAGUUGCCACACUGUUCCUUGCUAGAGCUUUCUGCCUAACGGAGACCAUUGCGAGACUGUUGUUUGGAAAGCAACUGACAGAUGAACCCCUCUCCUGAGAAGGCAGAGAUAACACACCGACAGAACUCCCCGGGCAAACUGCCUGCGCUACGCCGCUGCUCCUGGCUCCACCCCCACGACGGCCGAACGCCGCUGCCACGCGGAGGCCAAUGGCGCCCGGCAGCUGAGCCCUGGGGGGAGGUUACUUCUCAGCCAGCCGAGGCGGUUCCCUGCUUUGGCGCGAAAUGGCUCGUUCCGCUUUACCAGUGUUUCUUAGAGUGGUGUGAGGUUUAUUAGUAGUACUGUUAUUAUUACGUGCCCUGUUUGCAGAAAGGUAGAGUGUGAAUUAUUUAUUCUCUCAUUGCACCAGUACGAGAAGCAUUACAAAAGCAGGAUACGUUCAGCUUAAGUUCCCCUUCCUUGAGUUUGUAAGACGUGCAGCUGGUUUACUCAGUGUGCUUUCACCCUCCCAACUUUUGCUGUUCAUGAAUUCUGGUCUUCCGAAGCCCAGUUCCCACUGAGAUGACUUGAAUCUUCUAGCAGAAAAUGAGCUGGAUGUCAAAUCACCAAUAGCACAGUGCAUUCCUCCUGGAGAUUUGGUUUGGAUUAUGAC